rfam:Puccinia sorghi strain RO10H11247 Scaffold_879, whole genome shotgun sequence.
CCUGUCAUCGUCUAGUGGUUAGGACACCAGGUUUUGAUCAAGGUGGUCCUCUCGUAGUGUCCUGGUAACCUGGGUUCGACUCCCAGUGACAGGU